rnacentral:rRNA from 1 species
GACGACCGUGCGAACGUUGUUCGGAAUCACUGGGCUUAAAGGGCGCGUAGGCGGAGGGAAUAGUCGGUGGUGAAAGCCUCCAGCUUAACUGGAGAAGCGCCUCCGAUACUGACCCUCUCGAGGGAGGUAGGGGCAUGUGGAACUCCCGGUGUAGCGGUGGAAUGCGUAGAGAUCGGGAAGAACAUCGGUGGCGAAGGCGGUCUGCUGGGCCGUUGCUGACGCUGAGGCGCGACAGCGUGGGGAGCAAACAGG